AAAUUGAAGAGUUUGAUCAUGGCUCAGAUUGAACGCUGGCGGCAGGCCUAACACAUGCAAGUCGAACGGUAACAGGAAGCAGCUUGCUGCUUCGCUGACGAGUGGCGGACGGGUGAGUAAUGUCUGGGAAACUGCCUGAUGGAGGGGGAUAACUACUGGAAACGGUGGCUAAUACCGCAUAACGUCGCAAGACCAAAGAGGGGGACCUUCGGGCCUCUUGCCAUCAGAUGUGCCCAGAUGGGAUUAGCUUGUUGGUGAGGUAACGGCUCACCAAGGCAAC
rnacentral:rRNA from 1 species